rnacentral:lncRNA from 11 species
UUUGAUCCUUUUUCUAGUUUUCCCAUAGAUUUAUAUCACAUCUGUCAAUUGUCAGGCCUCCAGACGGUCUAUCUCUGCUCUCGUUGGCUGCGUCCUGCUUUUAUUUGCUUCCACCCUCCAGUCCUUGCCUUCUUCCACCCUCAGUUUGCAUCCACUUUUUAUCUCCUCCCUUCUCAGGUUUCCUUCCUGCUGCUUUGGUUGCUAAAGCUAUUUGUUUAUGAAGAAGCUACAGUCUUUAGAGUAAACAUUGCGUCAGAAGUCCUUUCUCUAGUCCCUUACUGUUCUCCUCUGGCGGAUUAUGUGUUCAUUAUUGUAGUGAUGGGAGCAGCUGCAGCUCUUCUUCGCUGCCUUCUUCGCCUUGCUUUGUGGGGUCCCGCCAUAUCCGGUUGCGCCAGGGGCAGAGACUGGCCCUCACAGCAGGACCCAAAGGCUGCCUUUGCCACCACGGGAGCCACCACGAUGCGCCUGAAAGGUAAAGCCAAAGACUUAUCAGCAGCCCCUCAUAUUUAUAUAAACUCUGCUGCAAAGACAAAGAACAUUUUUGGUCGUCCAUUUUGAUAGAACCCAUCUUGCGUUGACUUGUCUGCCAUCUGGGCAUUGUCAAUGAAUCCAGAG